rnacentral:rRNA from 1 species
CUUUGCUGGCGACCGGCGCACGGGUGAGUAACACGUAUCCAACCUGCCCUUUACUCGGGGAUAGCCUUUCGAAAGAAAGAUUAAUACCCGAUAGCAUAAUGAUUCCGCAUGGUUUCAUUAUUAAAGGAUUCCGGUAAAGGAUGGGGAUGCGUUCCAUUAGGUUGUUGGUGAGGUAACGGCUCACCAAGCCUUCGAUGGAUAGGGGUUCUGAGAGGAAGGUCCCCCACAUUGGAACUGAGACACGGUCCAA